rnacentral:rRNA from 1 species
CCUACGGGCGACAGCAGUGGGGAAUAUUGCACAAUGGGGGAAACCCUGAUGCAGCAACGCCGCGUGAGUGAUGACGGCCUUCGGGUUGUAAAGCUCUGUCUUCAGGGACGAGAAUGACGGUACCUGAGGAGGAAGCCACGGCUAACUACGUGCCAGCAGCCGCGGUAAUACGUAGGUGGCGAGCGUUGUCCGGAUUUACUGGGCGUAAAGGGAGCGUAGGCGGACUUUUAAGUGAGAUGUGAAAUACUCGGGCUCAACUUGAGUGCUGCCUUUAAAACUGGAAGUCUAGAGUGCAGGAGAGGAGACUGGCAUUCCUAGUGUAGCGGUUAAAUGCGUAGCGAUUAGGAAGAACCCCAGUGGCGAAGGCGCUUCUCUGGACUGUAACUGACGCUGAGGCUCGAACGCGUGGGGAGCAAACAGGAUUAGAUACCCUGGUAGUC